UGCGUAGGCGGAAAAUUAAGUCAGUGGUGAAAUCCUGCAGCUUAACUGUAGAACUGUCAUUGAUACUGAUUUUCUUGAAUAUAGUUGAGGUAGGCGGAAUGUGUAAUGUAGCGGUGAAAUGCUUAGAUAUUACACAGAACACCGAUUGCGAAGGCAGCUUACUAAGCUAUUAUUGACGCUGAGGCACGAAAGCGUGGGGAGCGAACAGGAUUAGAUACCCUGGUAGUC
rnacentral:rRNA from 1 species